AGUUGCAACCGGUUUUGACAGGUUGCGUCUGUCAAUCACAACUUUUCAACUGACGAAGAAAGCAGAGCAGCUUUGAUUUGGAGCAAGCAGAGAGGACUAGGACAGUGCUACGACGUCAGCGUCGUUUACCUUCAAGGAUUCAGUAAUUGGGUAUAUCCGAAUCGAUAAUGAUUCCCGAAAUUGAUACCAGGACAAAGACGUAGGUAAUCAAAACGUCACUAUCUGAUCAAUACAGAAAUAUCAAUACUAGGAUACCAGCCCGGUAUCCUGGUAUUGGUUCCAGGUUGUGGAAUCGCUUUGGACAAAAACAUCAAUAAUUGAACAUUUAAUGUUUUAAAAUCACGAUUAUCAGCUCAAAUUCUGAUAAUUCUUCAAUAAAACAAAAUAAAACAAU